ANCCAAAUGGGGGUACCCUGACCGCACCAACGCCGCGUGAGUGAAGAAGGUCUUUGGGUCGUAAAGCUCUGUCAACAGGGAAGAAGUUGAUAUGUAUUAAUAGUAUGUAUCAUUGACGGUACCUGUGAAGGAAGCACCGGCUAACUCCGUGCCAGCAGCCGCGGUAACACGGGGGGUGCAAGCGUUAUUCGGAAUUAUUGGGCGUAAAGGGCGCGUAGGCGGCCUUGUCAGUCAGAUGUGAAAGCCCGGGGCUCAACCCCGGAAGUGCAUUUGAAACAGCAAGGCUUGAGUACGGGAGAGGAAAGCGGAAUUCCUGGUGUAGAGGUGAAAUUCGUAGAUAUCAGGAGGAACACCGAUGGCGAAGGCAGCUUUCUGGACCGAUACUGACGCUGAGGCGCGAAGGCGUGGGUAGCGAACAGGAUUAGAUACCCUGGUAGUCCACGCAGUAAACGAUGUUCACUAGGUGCUGGGGAUAUUAAAAUUUUCAGUGCCGGAGCUAACGCAUUAAGGAACCGCCUNGGGAGACGUNG
rnacentral:rRNA from 1 species